rnacentral:lncRNA from 1 species
UGGGUUGGGGCCUAUAAAUACCCCACCCACUCAGCACUGAAAGAAUAGAACACAUACUCGAAAUCUUGCUGUCUUUCUGUGGUUCUUAGAGCUCAAAACUGCUAGUUCUCCUCUUUCUGUUCUUCAAAGUUUGAGUUGUAAAGAGAGGAGAGAAAACUUCUGUAAGGGUUGUCUCCUAAGCCCGUCAAAAGGAGUGAAUCUGUAAGAGGGUGGUUGGCCUUCGCUUAUUGAAGGAAGGCCUCUAGUUGACGUCGGUGACCUCGUCGGUGGAGGAAGCCAAAAGUGGAGUAGGUCAAGAUUGACCGAACCACUCUAAAUCUCGGUUUGCAUUUCCUUUGAGCAUUUUACCUUCACUGCAAACUUCUCAAUAGCUUACUGCCCUCUGCGAUUUUACGAACGAGUUUCAAGGUUCAGACGUAAAUCUGUGUUUAGACGUAAAUCUUCUUUUUCGUAUGAUCAUCAUAUUACAGAUUGCGUUUACGUUUUGAGCUUUACCAUAACUACACACUGCCUUUAAACUCCUGCUUAAACUACGUCUUAUCUAAUCAAGUGAUUUACGAAUCAGCAUUUAGACGUAAAUCAGUUUCUUCGUACGAACGUCGGAUUUCAGUUUGCGCUGAUAUUCUGGUUUUCAUCAUAGCUGCAAACUGCCUGCAUAGAUUGACUUUAACCUUACUUAGUAUCGACUUUCAUAUAGAAGUUGUUUUUAUCGUUCGAACGCAGCUUUCGAUUUUAAUCGCAGAAAUUUUUCCGCUGCACUAAUUCACCCCCCC